UAUCGCAGUCCAUGCUGUUAUGUACUUUAAUACUAAAGUGCUGCUUGGACUACAUAUGGUUGAGGGUUGUUAGACUACUUAAACAGUUGAUUUUAGUUAUUUUAUAGCUUAAAUCACAUGGUGUAUUGAAGGAGUUUGAUGUGUUCUACACAUAAAGCCCGCAAUACUAAUAACAAUAUUAUAAAGCCUCAUAAUAUGCACUUAGUAUUCAUUUGAUGCAUAUAUUUAUAAAGAUAAAUAGGCAAAAGAAUUAAAAAAAAAAAUCAUAAAGCCUUAAUCUUUUAAUAUAUGUGUUAAAAUAACUAAAAAAGGAAGAAAAGUGCAAUUUUGAGCAAAAAUUUUGUUUAUACAACCUCAACUCAUAUGGGAUU
rnacentral:misc_RNA from 1 species